rnacentral:rRNA from 1 species
AUGGAGAUGGGACGGUCACUAUGGCUCGCGCUGCUGGUCCCUGCGAUCAUGGUGUCCUUCUACGGCGAGGCUGCCAUGGCGGACGCCCAGACAUCGACGGCGGGAGGGUCACCGCCGGACACGAACGUGCUGUGCGUCAGCAAGUGCGGGACGUGCCCGACGGUGUGUACCACGCCGCCGCCGCCGCCGGCGGGCAGCGACGGCAGUGGCUACUCCUCGCCGUCGCCUCCGCGCUCUAUGACGACUCAGCCAUCUCCGCCGGCCGUGCCGCAGCCGCAGGCCAAGGGAGGGAAGCCCAGCGGCUACUACUACUUCUUCACCGCCGGGAGCGGCCGGAGCUGCGCCGCCUCGAGCGCUCGUUACACGCUGCUGCUCCUGGCGCUUCUUCCCGUCGUCGCUGUUUAG